AAGUCGUAACAAGGUCUCCGUAGGUGAACCUGCGGAGGGAUCAUUACAAGAACGCCCGGGCUUCGGCCUGGUUAUUCAUAACCCUUUGUUGUCCGACUCUGUUGCCUCCGGGGCGACCCUGCCUUCGGGCGGGGGCUCCGGGUGGACACUUCAAACUCUUGCGUAACUUUGCAGUCUGAGUAAACUUAAUUAAUAAAUUAAAACUUUUAACAACGGAUCUCUUGGUUCUGGCAUCGAUGAAGAACGCAGCGAAAUGCGAUACGUAGUGUGAAUUGCAGAAUUCAGUGAAUCAUCGAAUCUUUGAACGCACAUUGCGCCCCCUGGUAUUCCGGGGGGCAUGCCUGUUCGAGCGUCAUUUCACCACUCAAGCCUCGCUUGGUAUUGGGCAACGCGGUCCGCCGCGUGCCUCAAAUCGUCCGGCUGGGUCUUCUGUCCCCUAAGCGUUGUGGAAACUAUUCGCUAAAGGGUGCUCGGGAGGCUACGCCGUAAAACAACCCCAUUUCUAAGGUUGACCUCGGAUCAGGUAGGGAUACCCGCUGAACUUAA
rnacentral:rRNA from 1 species